GACGAACGCUGGCGGCGUGCUUAACACAUGCAAGUCGAACGGUAACGCGCCGUCCUUUUUGGCGGGUGUGGAUGAGUGGCGAACGGGUGAGUAACACGUGAGUAACCUGCCCCCUUCUUCUGGAUAACCGCAGGAAAGGGUGGCUAAUACGGGAUAUUUUGGGUUUGUCUCGUGAUGGGUCUGGGUAGGUUAUUGUUUCGGUGGGGGAUGGGCUCGCGGCCGAUCAGCGUGUUGGUGGGGUGGUAGCCUACCAAGGCGGGGACGGGUAGCCGGCCAGAGAGGGAGGACGAGCAGGCUGGGGAGGAGGCACGGCCCCGACUGGAACGGGACGCAGCCGUGAGGCCUACUGGACGAUGGAGUGGAGCAUAAUGCAGCGACGCCGCGUGCGGGAUGCAGCACUGCGGGUUGUGAGACGCAGUCGUUAGUGAAGUAGACCUGUUUCGUUUGUGAGUAUAAUGACGGUAGCUGGAGAAGAAGCGCCGGCUAACUACGUG
rnacentral:rRNA from 1 species